AGGAGGUCUAGUUCUGCCGCAUUAAGGUGAGACCGCGAAUGGCUCAUUAUAUCAGUUAUGGUUCCUUAGAUCUUCGGUUACACUUGGACAACCCUGGUAAUUCUAGAGCUAAUACAUGCAUCCAUGCACCGACCUCCGGGAAGGUGUGUUUUUAUUAGCCCAAAACCAAUCGUUGCCUUCGGGUGACGUCCCCGUGGUGACUCAGAGUAACUUUGUUCGGAUCGCAUGGCCUUCGUGCCGGCGACACAUCUUUCAAAUGUCUGCCUUAUCAACUUGUUGGUUGGUUAAAUGCCAACCAAGGUGGCAACGGGUAACGGGGAAUGGGGCGGGGGCGGCGGGCCGGGCGCGGGGCGCGGCGGGCGA
rnacentral:rRNA from 1 species